GAUGAACGCUGGCGGCGUGCUUAACACAUGCAAGUCGAACGGUGAAGGCGGAGCUUGCUCUGCUGGAUCAGUGGCGAACGGGUGAGUAACACGUGAGCAAUCUGCCCCUGACUCUGGGAUAAGCGCUGGAAACGGCGUCUAAUACUGGAUACGAGCUGCGAAGGCAUCUUCAGCAGCUGGAAAGAAUUUCGGUCAGGGAUGAGCUCGCGGCCUAUCAGCUUGUUGGUGAGGUAAUGGCUCACCAAGGCGUCGACGGGUAGCCGGCCUGAGAGGGUGACCGGCCACACUGGGACUGAGACACGGCCCAGACUCCUACGGGAGGCAGCAGUGGGGAAUAUUGCACAAUGGGCGGAAGCCUGAUGCAGCAACGCCGCGUGAGGGACGACGGCCUUCGGGUUGUAAACCUCUUUUGGCAGGGAAGAAGCGAAAGUGACGGUACCUGCAGAAAAAGCGCCGGCUAACUACGUG
rnacentral:rRNA from 1 species